AAUGAAUGGAGAGAAAAGAAGGGUUAAAGAGGGUGAGAUAGACCAUCUGCGACCCUUUUGUUCGAACAGUUCGCCUUGAAAAGUUUAAACUAUUGGUAAGAAGGCUCUCAGUCACUCACUUCGCGCACUCUUUGCUUCUUUUCAAAUAAACAGUUCGCACCGCCCGAUUUUCUAAGUCUAUGGGUUUUGUGCACACUCUACUGUAGAGUUUGACUAUCAAAUUACCAUUGGUUCUUGUACAUAAUCGAGUGGGUGA
ensembl:ncRNA F58E6.15 ncRNA